AACGUAGGAGGCAAGCGUUAUCCGGAGUUACUGGGCGUAAAGCGCAUGUAGGCGGUUGGGCAAGUGGCGUGUGAAAGCUCCCGGCUAAACUGGGAGAGGGCACGUCAGACUGCCCGGCUAGAGGCAGAUAGAGGGGCGCAGAAUUCGGGGUGUAGCGGUGAAAUGUGUAGAGAUCCCGAGGAAUACCAGUGGUGAAGACGGCGCCCUGGGUCUGUACUGACGCUGAGAUGCGAAAGCGUGGGGAGCGAACGGG
rnacentral:rRNA from 1 species